CGCCAAGAAGCUAAACAGGCCUCAGCAUUAGCCUUUUAAGCUAAAAAUUGGUGACUGCCGCCCACCCUUGGCGA
ensembl:Mt_tRNA